rnacentral:rRNA from 1 species
GAUGAACGCUGACAGAAUGCUUAACACAUGCAAGUCAACUGUGGCGGACGGGUGAGUAACGCGUAAAGAACUUGCCUCACAGCUAGGGACAACAUUUGGAAACGAAUGCUAAUACCUGAUACUGUGAGAGAGCUUUGCGUCCCAUGAGCUAGUUGGAGAGGUAACGGAUCACCAAGGCGAUGAUGGGUAGCCGGCCUGAGAGGGUGAUCGGCCACAAGGGGACUGAGAUACGGCACUUACUCCUACGGGAGGCAGCAGUGGGGAAUAAUGGAUGAUGGACCAAAGUCUGAUCAAGAAAUUCUGUGUGCACGAUGAAGUUUUCGGAAUGUAAGGUGAUUGCAGUUGGGAAGCGGUACCAACAGAAGAAGUGACGGCUAAAUACGUGCCAGCAGCCGCGGUAAUAC